rnacentral:tRNA from 1 species
GACCGAGGGGGAAAACCUUCCCCCUUGUGAUAAUCCAGCGCCCUGAAAAGGCGUGUGUCGACAGUUCAAUUCUGUCCUUGGCCA